rnacentral:rRNA from 1 species
GACGAACGCUGGCGGCGUGCCUAACACAUGCAAGUCGAACGGAAAGGCCCUGCUUUUGUGGGGUGCUCGAGUGGCGAACUGGUGAUUAACACGUGAGUAACCUGCCCUUGACUUUGGGAUAACUUCAGGAAACUGGGGCUAAUACCGGUUAGGAGCUCUUGCUUCAUGGUGUGUGUUGGCAAGUUUCGGCUGUUGGGGAUUUGUUCGCUGCUUACCACCUUGUUUGUGGGGUAGUGGCUUACCACGGGUUUGACUGGUUGCCUGCCUGAGAGGGGGAACGGGCACAUGGGGACUGAGAGAGGGAGCAGUAGGGAACGGGAGGCAGCAGUGGGGAAUAUUGCAGAAUGAGGGGAAGCCAGAGGCAGAAACGCCGCGUGCGGGAUGACGGCUUUUGGGUUGAGAACCGAUUUCGCAGGUAACGAAGAGUGAGUGACGGUAAUGGGUAAAGAAGCAACGGCUAACUACGUG